AGCAGCCGCGGUAAUUCCAGCUCCAAUAGCGUAUAUUAAAGUUGUUGCAGUUAAAAAGCUCGUAGUUGAAUUUCGGGGUUCUUCCGUUGGUCAGGCUAACAAGUCUGUACUAGCGUGUAGAAUCUCUACCUUCUGGGGAACCAUCAUGUUAUUAAUUUAGCGUGGUGGGAAACCAGGACCUUUACCUUGAAAAAAUUAGAGUGUUCAAAGCAGGCUUACGUCUGAAUACAUUAGCAUGGAAUAAUAAAAUAGGACGGUGGUCCUGUUUUGUUGGUUUCUGAAUCACCGUAAUGAUUAAUAGGGAUAGUUGGGGGCAUUAGUAUUCAAUUGUCAGAGGUGAAAUUCUUGGAUUUAUUGAAGACUAACUUCUGCGAAAGCAUUUGCCAAGGAUGUUUUCAUUAAUCAAGAACGAAAGUUAGGGGAUCGAAGACGAUCAGAUACCGUCGUAGUCUUAACCAUAAACUAUGCCGACUAGGGAUCGGACGAUGUUAAAUUAUUGACUCG
rnacentral:rRNA from 1 species